ACUUCUUUUAAACUGAUUCUGUCUUUUAAGCUGGAGAUCUGGCUUUAGACUUUACCCAUACAUUGACUACAACGAAUGAUAGCUAUAUAAACAUUUAAUAAAGUCAGACUGAAGGACAAAAAAAAGUAGCAGUUGUAAUACUGUUAACUAGAAUAGAAAUGCACCUGAAAGGACCUUUUACUAUUGCUUUUGUUUUUUGAAACAAGGUUUCUUGUAGCUCAGGCUACCCUCAAAGAUGAUCCGUCUUCUCCCCCCUUCAGAAAACUAGGAUUAGUUUCAAUACCACACCCAACCUGAGAUGGACACAACUGAAAAAGAACAUUAAACAAGAUAGGAGACUCCAAGUUAAAGUGCCAAAAAAGAUGUCAAAGCUAACAAAGAAUUCUCUCAGGAGUGAAAAAGAAGUUUCAGUCUGUCUUCCCUGAAAACGUCGUUGCCUCUCCCAUGGAACAAACGGGCGAACACGAGAAUCUUCCUGACCAGUGGUCUCUAAAGGCUGAACAAAAUCCAUGGCAAUUGUUAAAAACGAGAGUUACUUUGAUCACUUUAAGGACAGUUGUUCUCACAGAACAAUACUGGAAGCACGCUGUUAUUGUUAUCCAAGAGAGCAUAGUUAGAAACAUCUAAUCGAACGUCAGUUUCAUGUAUACAUCGGCUUUGUCUAUUGCUGGCUGUCAAGCAAUACUACAACCCACAAGAGUAUGUAGAGUUUAAUUUCUUUCUGUGAAUUUUCUUGCUUUGAAUUACACAUUAAAUUAUGGUCAA